rnacentral:rRNA from 1 species
UACAGAGGGGGCAAGCGUUGUUCGGAAUUACUGGGCGUAAAGGGCGCGUAGGCGGCCUGUUAAGUCGAACGUGAAAUCCCCGGGCUCAACCCGGGAACUGCGUCCGAUACUGGCAGGCUUGAAUCCGGGAGAGGGAUGCGGAGUUCCAGGUGUAGCGGUGAAAUGCGUAGAUAUCUGGAGGAACACCGGUGGCGAAGGCGGCAUCCUGGACCGGUAUUGACGCUGAUGCGCGAAAGCCAGGGGAGCAAACGGG